rnacentral:rRNA from 1 species
AUUGAACGCUGGCGGCAGGCCUAACACAUGCAAGUCGAGCGGAUGAAGGGAGCUUGCUCCUGGAUUCAGCGGCGGACGGGUGAGUAAUUCCUAGGAAUCUGCCUGGUAGUGGGGGAUAACGUCCGGAAACGGGCGCUAAUACCGCAUACGUCCUGAGGGAGAAAGUGGGGGAUCUUCGGACCUCACGCUAUCAGAUGAGCCUAGGUCGGAUUAGCUAGUUGGUGGGGUAAAGGCCUACCAAGGCGACGAUCCGUAACUGGUCUGAGAGGAUGAUCAGUCACACUGGAACUGAGACACGGUCCAGCCUCCUACGGGAGGCAGCAGUGGGGAAUAUUGGACAAUGGGCGAAAGCCUGAUCCAGCCAGGCCGCGUGUGUGAAGAAGGUCUUCGGAUUGUAAAGCACUUUAAGUUGGGAGGAAGGGCAGUAAGUUAAUACCUUGCUGUUUUGACGUUACCAACAGAAUAAGCACCGGCUAACUUCGU